UUUCCAGCUAGAGAGAGAAACAAGAUUAAUUAACUAGUAUUUUGUUGACCAUUUUAAGGAACUAACUUGUUUUCCGCUACAUUAAAUGUAAGUAUAAAUUAAAAAAUAAAAUGGUCAAAUUGCUGUGGUAUAAGAGGAAUAAAAGACUGGGACAUGCUGAAAAGAAACAGCAGGCCCUGCUGCAUUUUAUGUUUCGUUGAAUAAUGUGACAUGUUUAUUUGGAGGUCUUACUUUUGUCCUCGUCACACACGGCUUUAUUUUUUUCCUCCGCUUCUCUGCGAGCAUUCCUUCCUCGUUCCUCUUCCUCCCAGUCCAGAUCUACCCUCUCUUCCUUCGAGUAUCGCAAGCUAAAGACAAGCCGAUGAAGCUUGGCGGAGAGAAUUGUGUGAAUUGAACGUGAUGUGCAGUAGCUCACGAGGAGCACUAGAAUGCCAGUACAGAAGAAGAGCAGCACCGCAAAGUACAGGUAAUGAACCCCACAAAUAAGUGAAGGGCAUUUGGAAGGAAUGAGACAGCUACCCGAUCCAAAGUAGAAUUCAGGACCGAUGCGGCACAAACCCAUGACCAGGCCACCCGUCAGG